AUAUGCCACUUUUUCCCUUCAGAAUCAGUGAAUCUCACUCGCCCUCUGAAUUCUAUUUUGAUUGGAGGAUUAAACAAGAACUUCCUUUUAUUGACAAAGCAUAUGAUAAACGAGGCCUUUCGUCAGUGUUUUACUUAUUCCCAUUAUGUGUAGAACAUUCGAAAUAGGAAAACCGUAAUUCCUCAGAAUGCAGAAAAGGUAAUUUGGGGUUCUAGUUCAGUUUAUUGAGAUGCUUAUGAAUAUCAAGGUGAAUUUCUAGAAUCAGGGAAAAUAUGGAAAGAACCAAAGCAUGAAGGGUUACUUGCGGAUUCCUUGAUUAUCAAUUCAGGAGAGGAUGUUGGAGAAAAAGUUCUGUCUUAUUUUCGGAACAGCACCACUAAUUCUGUAAGUUCCCAUGGUCGCACGCAGACGGGCAUUAUCUUGUCAGCUACUGGUUCAGUUUUGCACCCGAUAAUGGAUACAGAAAAUUCAUCAGCUUCAGAUAAGGGUUCAUUUUCAAUAAUAAAGCUUGGGGGGAAAUAUAUUAUAUCUGAAGAUGGUCAAGUUCAGCAAGAAGGACCACUGACUAUACUCUGUGCUGGUUCAUCUGGUGUUGCUGUUGGAGGUCGAGUUAAUGGUCGUCUGGUUGCAGUGGACCUGGUCCAGGUUCUGGUGGGUCGUUUCUGCGCAUAAACCAAGAGAAGGUGAAGCGAAAAUUUGAAGAGCUGCAAGCACCUCUUGUUUUGCUAGUUUUGUUUCUCCAUCAACAUCUGUGCUUUCUAUUCUUCUUUCGUUAUACUUUGAAACAAAAAAUGGAUUGGUUACCUUUCAUGGUGGUUUCUCUUGACAUUGACCAGGAUAGUGCAACUAAAAAGCUUAAUAUUGUUUAUUGAUGGAAAACCUUAAAACUUCUUUUGGAUGAUCUUCUGUA